UGCAUGCUUUUCAUCUCCACAGCCACUCCCAUUCUUGGCUGUGGCACGUGUGGCAAGCCGCACCCGAAGCACAGGAAACCUAGGCAGCCUAGACCCAUCGGUCUUCCUCCCAUUGUCAAACCCCCAGUUCCCUUGCCACCAGUCACUCUCCCUCCGGUGACCGUCCCGCCGAUCAAGCCACCAGUCGACCUCCCCACUCUCCCACCAGUUGCACUGCCUCCAGUUCUCCCUAAUCCACCAAGUGCUAGGAAGCCAUGCCCAUGUUCAUACACACCACCUCCACCAGCGGCUGCCACAUGCCCCAUUGACACCCUCAAAUUGGGUGCUUGUGUGGACCUUCUUGGUGGGUUGGUUCACAUUGGUCUUGGUGACCCAGUUGUUAACCAAUGCUGCCCAGUUC
rnacentral:lncRNA from 1 species